rnacentral:rRNA from 1 species
AUUGACCUCGGAUCAGGUAGGGAUACCCGCUGAACUUAAGCAUAUCAAUAAGCGGAGGAAAAGAAACCAACAGGGAUUGCCUCAGUAACGGCGAGUGAAGCGGCAACAGCUCAAAUUUGAAAUCUGGCCCCGUCGGGGUCCGAGUUGUAAUUUGUAGAGAGUGUUUCGGGUGAGACCACGGUCUAAGUCUAUUGGAACAUGGCGUCAUAGAGGGUGAGAAUCCCGUAUGUGACCGUGGCUCGAGCCCAUGUGAAGCCUCUUCGACGAGUCGAGUUGUUUGGGAAUGCAGCUCAAAAUGGGUGGUAAAUUUCAUCUAAAGCUAAAUACUGGCUGGAGACCGAUAGCGCACAAGUAGAGUGAUCGAAAGAUGAAAAGCACUUUGGAAAGAGAGUCAAAAAGUACGUGAAAUUGUUGAAAGGGAAGCGCUUGCAACCAGACCUGUCCGUAGGUGAUCAGCCGCUGUUCUCAGCGGUGCACUCGCUCUGCGAUCAGGCCAGCAUCGGUUCCGGCGGUCGGAUAAAGGCCUUGGGAAUGUAGCUCCCUUCGGGGAGUAUUAUAGCCCUCGGUGCAAUGCGGCCAGCUGGGACCGAGGACCGCGCUUCGGCUAGGAUGCUGGCGUAAUGGUUGUAAGCGACCCGUCUUGAAACACGGACCAAGGAGUCUACCAUCUAUGCGAGUGUUUGGGUGUUAAACCCAUGCGCGGAAUGAAAGUGAACGGAGGUGAGAACCCUUUAGGGCGCAUCAUCGACCGAUCCAGAUGUCUUCGGAUGGAUUUGAGUAUGAGCAUAGCUGGUGGGACCCGAAAGAUGGUGAACUAUGCCUGAAUAGGGUGAAGCCAGAGGAAACUCUGGUGGAGGCUCGCAGCGGUUCUGACGUGCAAAUCGAUCGUCAAAUUUGGGCAUAGG